rnacentral:lncRNA from 1 species
CUUGGCUCUUUUCAGUUGAGUUCAGACCAACCACUGGUCUUGUCUGCUCCUGGUUUGAGAAUAGUAUUAUGAUGCCAAAUUCUUCUCACCCUUUGGCUGAUUAGGAUUGAAAUGAAUUAUAUUUCUUUCUAUGUAGCUACUUCUACACCAUUGAUUUUUUUUAUUUUUGUAUGUCUUUCUCAUUCGAUGCUGUUUCUCUGUGUGCAGCAAUAUUCCUCAGACACUGGGUGUUAUUGUUCUGAGAGCCGAGGCACUGCCUCCCUAGGCAACCACUCCUCUCCGCGGAGAGGUGGAACGAGAGUGGGAGGAGGGCGCGAGGGACAAGUUUCUUGUGGAAGCCAAGGUUGGGAAGGGAGAUAACGUUACAUGCUGUGCAUUCUUGCAAUCACAAUCUAACCUCCUUUCCUUCAACCUCCCUCCCUUUCCUCCAACCUCCCUUCCUCUCUUUCUCUUAUGGUCAUACUUUGCGUUUGACACCUAACACCCUCCUGGUUCAAAUGGGCGUGUGUGUGGGUAUGAGUGUUGUGGGAGCGGCAAGUCCAGGUGGCUUCCUCAGUUGCCUUCCACUUGUGGAGCUGUAGAGGAGUGUCUGAAGCUCCCACCGGGAACACUGCUCAGUACUUUUACCUCCAUGGGUUUGUGUAAGACUGCACCUUGUUAAGAAGUGUUGUCGAGACGACCUGGCACUCAAGUUUAGUCCCCCAUGAAGUGGCCUGGAGUGGGUCAGUCCAGCAGGUCAGUCCACUCGGCAUGUGGGAAGCGAAGGAGAGCCAUGAGCACUCUGGGUCGGUCCAAGGACAAAACCUGGGGGGUCGGCCUCAGACCGGGCAUAGAGGUGGCCACCCUCCGGAGCGCCUGGGAGGAGAGAAGGCUCCUGAACGGAUUCAACCGCAAGUUAACCCGUUGGUUCGGUAGAAACUCGGGCUCAGUACUGUACAAAUGCAUUACAGAACUGUCUCCGGACUGGUUAGUAGGUAUGUCCAUGUAUUUGUAACCCUAACCCUAAGCCUAUA